AUGGACAGACAGCUUUGGAGGGGCCCCGGAAACCCCCGAGGAAGGAGGAAGCGAGUGCCGCUCUGUGCUGGGGCAGCAGCUAGUGCGUGCGUAGUGCGUGCAGGGCCCGGGGCACGGCGGCUCCUGCUCCCACGGCGAGGACGCCGGCCCAGCCCCGCCCCCGCCCACAGGUGUUUACAGGCGCCACCUGUGUCCUGCGUAGGCGGCAGAGCCCUGGCUCCCACAGAGUUCCUGCGUACACGGGAGAACACCUCAGAGGAGGGGAGGGAAGCUGCAGGCAGCCAGCCUCGAGGGGCUGAGACCCCGGGCGGGCGGGAGGCCCGGCUGACUUCCACGCUCUGCCCGCGGCCUUGCCUAGCAGGACAGGAGGGGCCGAGGCGGGGAUGCAGGGCGUCGGCUCACGGGGGCGUCGUCAACCACCAGGCCUUGCUGCGGGUUCAGACAGGCGUCCAGGGACGAGGAGAAUCCAGGGUGCUGCCCACGCCAGCCCGAGCCCUGGGCACAGUGCAGAGGCGUCCAUCCGGAAGGAAUCAGAAAGCCAAGAUCCUGCCCGCGCGACGCCCAGGAACUGGAGCGGGGUCCUGCCACCCGCUUUGUGUCUGAGAGCCAGAGCAAGUGACAGAGAGGUGGGAAUCUCCCCUCACCCGCAGCCAGCCUGACACCGUUGCUCUGGAGCUGGCCCAGGAGAGAGGCUGUGAAGACGGGGCAGCCACAGACACAAGGCCCAUUGACCGUGCUCGUUCAGACCCAAGCUCCACCCAGAACUUCACCUACAAGCAGGAAGAAAACAGUCAAGGACCCCCAGGGGAAAAAUACUUAACCAAACAAAUAAAGCUAAAUCUUAGAAGCAGCCUGUAUGUCCGCCAACACAUGAAUAGAUAAAGAAAAUGUAUUUAUACACAACGGAGUACUACUCUGCCGUAAAGAAGGAUAAGCUUGAAUCAUUUGUAGGAAAUGGAUUCACCUUGAGACCAUAAUGUUAAGUGAAAUGAAUCAGACACACAAGCUUCAAUACUGAAUGGUUGUUCUUAUCUGAGAAACCGAAACUAUAAAUAAAUCCAAGAGCAAAAUAAAGGAGAGUUCACAGGAGACAGGGCAACAGAUAUUCUACAAAUGGAGAGGGGCCGAGAGCCGGAGCAGGGGGAGGGAGAGAAAGUGGACAGAAUUAAGAUGCGUUCUGUCCGUGCACCAGCUCGCACUAGGAGCAUGAUCACUAAGUACUAUAAACAUGCAUGUAAAAAUAAAAAUGUAAAAACCCACCACGCUAUUCCAAAGAAGGGCAAACAGACCUCACCCAGGGCAGUGGGUUCCCCCCGCCCUCCCUGCUGGGGUCUCUGAAAACCAAGAUGGAGGUGACG
rnacentral:lncRNA from 1 species